rnacentral:tRNA from 1 species
AAAGAAUUAGUUUUAAAAUUAAAACAUUAAAUUGUCAAUUUAACAAUAUCUCCUCAAAGAUAUUCUUUU